ACAAUAAGCAAAAUAAGGGCGUAUGGGGGAUGCCUAGGCUCUCAGAGGCGAUGAAAGGCGUGAUAAGCUGCGAAAAGCUGCGGGGACGGGCACACACCGAUUGAUCCGCAGAUACCUGAAUGGGGCAACCCACUAUGUUGAAGACAUAGUACACCGAUAGGUGGGCAAACCCGCUGAACUGAAACAUCUAAGUAGGCGGAGGAGAAGAAAACAAAAGUGAUUCCGUAAGUAGUGGCGAGCGAACGCGGAUUAGCCCAAACCAAUGUUGUUACGGCAAUGUUGGGGUUGUAGGACCACGACAUUUUAUGCAUGCAGAACCAGAACUGACUGGAAAGUCGGGCCAUAGAGAGUGAUAGCCUCGUAUGGGUAAUAAAUGUAAUAGAUAGUGGUAUCCUGAGUAGGGCGGGGCACGUGAAACCCUGUCUGAAUUUGGCGGGACCAUCCGCUAAGGCUAAAUACUCCUGAGAGACCGAUAGUGAACCAGUACCGUGAGGGAAAGGUGAAAAGAACCGUGAAUAACGGAGUGAAAUAGAUCCUGAAACCAUACGCUUACAAGCGGUCGGAGCCCUUUCGUGGGGUGACGGCGUGCCUUUUGCAUAAUGAGCCUACGAGUUAACGUUGCUGGCAAGGUUAAGUGAUUAAGUCACGGAUCCGUAGCGAAAGCGAGUCUGAAUAGGGCGCUUUAGUCAGUAGUGUUAGACGCGAAACCGUGUGAUCUACCCAUGGGCAGGUUGAAGCUGUGGUAACACACAGUGGAGGACCGAACCGGUUGACGUUGAAAAGUCUUCGGAUGACCUGUGGGUAGGGGUGAAAGGCCAAUCAAACUCGGAAAUAGCUCGUACUCCCCGAAAUGCAUUUAGGUGCAGCGUUAGUUAUAAAGUUAUAUAGAGGUAGAGCUACUGAUUGGAUGCGGGGGCUUCACCGCCUACCAAUUCCUGACAAACUCCGAAUGCUAUAUAAUGUUCACUAACAGUGAGGGCUUGGGUGCUAAGGUCCAAGUCCGAGAGGGAAAGAACCCAGACCAUCAGCUAAGGUCCCCAAAUAUAUGCUAAGUUGAAAGAACGAGGUUUGUCUGCCCAGACAGCUAGGAUGUUGGCUUGGAAGCAGCCAUUCAUUUAAAGAGUGCGUAACAGCUCACUAGUCGAGCGGACGAGCAUGGAUAAUAAUCGGGCAUAAGCAUAUUACCGAAGCUAUGGAUUUAGAGUUUACUCUAAGUGGUAGGGAGCAUUCUAACAGGGUUGAAGGUGUAUCGUAAGGUAUGCUGGACUGGUUAGAAAAAGAAAAUGUAGGCAUAAGUAACGAUAAUGCGGGCGAGAAACCCGCACACCGAAAAACUAAGGUUUCCACAGCUAUGCUAAUCAGCUGUGGUUAGUCUGGUCCUAAGGCGAACCCGAAAGGGACAGUCGAUGGCUAACGGGUUAAUAUUCCCGUACUACUAAUUACUGUGAUGGGGUGACGGAGUGAUGAAAGCGCCGCGAACUGACGGAAUUAGUUCGUUGAAGUACCUAGCUAUAUUCUCUUAUAGGCAAAUCCGUAGAGAAUGGUGAAAUACGAUAGUACUCGGAGUCUUCGGACCAAAGAGAUAGUGCGCCUAAGGGCUUCCAAGAAAAACCUCUAAACUUCAGGUAAUUAGUACCAGUACCGUAAACCGACACAGGUAGUUGAGGAGAGAAUCCUAAGGUGCUCGAGAGAUUCAUGGCUAAGGAAUUAGGCAAAAUAGACCUGUAACUUCGGGAGAAAGGUCGCCAGCAGCAAUGCUGGCCGCAGUGAAGAGGUCCAGGCGACUGUUUAUCAAAAAACACAGGGCUCUGCAAAAUCGUAAGAUGAAGUAUAGGGCCUGACACCUGCCCGGUGCUGGAAGGUUAAGAGGAGAUGUUAUCUUCGGAGAAGCAUUGAAUUGAAGCCCCAGUAAACGGC
rnacentral:rRNA from 1 species